AGCUGUCACCUCUGUCAGUGUUGGGUAUUGAACCGGCAACUCUUAAGCCUUUUCCAGCUGAGCAGGCCGCUGGCUAGUUAGCGUGAAAACACGCUUAAUUAGAGAGUAGGUGGCUUUUAACCUCGUAAAGUUGUGCGACGAGACUUUAAGUUGCUGAGCUUCUGACAUAAGUUACGUUAAAGGUUAGGUAACCACUGUAACAACUAGCUUAGCGGGCUAACAUGGCUUGUAGGGACAGAAAACUGAAAAGUCAUCUAUUUGUCUCUAUCGUUAGUAGAAACCAUUAAUCCCCAGCACACAAAUAUCACGUUUUCCCAGUGGAGUCUGGCCGUGCGUACUCUCCAAACGAUUUCACCGGACCAGAGCUGUUAGCUUAGCUGCUAGUCAGGCCCGGGGCCGCCUAUCUGCAAACACCUGUAUCCACGGGCCCCACGGCUUCAUGAGACCAGUCUGAUCCCUAUCCGGAAAACACACUCUGGUUAGCGGUGACACUGGCUGAAGGUUCGUGUCAUGGGACAGGACGGACGGCAGCAGGACGCAGAGAGACGAGCGGAGAUUUGGAUGCAUGGAAUAAAAGAUGUAGUAGACACUUUCAUU